rnacentral:rRNA from 1 species
UACGUAGGUGGCAAGCGUUGUCCGGAUUUAUUGGGUUUAAAGGGUGCGUAGGCGGUCUAUUAAGUCAGUGGUGAAAUACUCCAGCUUAACUGGAGGGGUGCCAUUGAUACUGAUGGACUUGAGUGAAGUCGAGGUAGGCGGAAUUGACGGUGUAGCAGUGAAAUGCGUAGAUAUCGGGAGGAACAUCGGUGGCGAAGGCGGCUGUCUGGCCAAACACUGACGCUCAGGUGCGAAAGCGUGGGGAGCAAACAGG